AGAGUUUGAUCAUGGCUCAGGACGAACGCUGGCGGCGUGCCUAAUACAUGCAAGUCGAGCGGACUUGAUGAGGUGCUUGCACCUCUGAUGGUUAGCGGCGGACGGGUGAGUAACACGUAGGUAACCUGCCUACAAGACUGGGAUAACAUUCGGAAACGAAUGCUAAUACCGGAUACGCGGAUUGGUCGCAUGAUCGAUUC
rnacentral:rRNA from 1 species